AUGGUAUGUUUUACCUGUGGAGGCCCUGGUCAUUACGUCGGCAAUUGUGUUCAGAAGAAGAUUUGCUUCAUAUGCGGAUUAGAAGGACACAACAUCAACAAUUGUGCAGCUUGGACACAACCUCACCCAGUUGCUACAUUCUUCGGUAGUUCAUCUUUGGGGUUGGGGUUCUACCACAUAGGUGCUCCUGUGGGCCGUGAAGCAAACUGGCUCAAUUUCAGAAACUAUGGAGAAGUAUGGAUCAUGAAGGGAGAGAUUGGCCAGUUAGAUCUGAUCAAGAACUUGUCAGGGAUUUUCUGCAAAAAUAAACAGUGGACAUGGCAAGUCAGACCUCUGUCUGAGAAGAAAUUCCUGGUCCGGUUCCCUCCUUGGAAAGAUGUGGAAGAAUUGAUUGAAUUUCCUGCGUUUGAUUUGCCCAUUGAUGGAGUGUCUGUGACAGUGGAGAAGUGGACUGGUGCGAUUGACCCUUUCAAUGAGCUUAUCGAAGCUUGGGUGAUCAUUGAAGGCCUUUCUUCCAAAUGGUGUACAUGGAAGGUACUGUCGCAGAUUGCAUCCUGCUUUGGGAUCCUUGUGGAUGUAGACUGGAAUGGUCUAAUGAAAAGUUUCUAUGAGAAGGUGCGUGUCAAGAUUGCUUGCAGGAACCCAGCAAAAAUUCCCUUUGAACGAAUCAUGGAGAUGAGGAAAAAGCUAUACAUCUUGUCGUUCACAGUGGAAGGAUUUGAU
rnacentral:rRNA from 1 species